rnacentral:rRNA from 1 species
UACGGGGGGAGCAAGCGUUGUUCGGAUUUACUGGGCGUAAAGGGCGCGUAGGCGGCCAGCACAAGUCAGUUGUGAAAUCUCCGAGCUUAACUCGGAAAGGUCAACUGAUACUGUGCGGCUAGAGUGCAGAAGGGGCAACUGGAAUUCUUGGUGUAGCGGUGAAAUGCGUAGAUAUCAAGAGGAACACCUGCGGCGAAGGCGGGUUGCUGGGCUGACACUGACGCUGAGGCGCGAAAGCGUGGGUAGCAAACAGG